CCUACGGGGGGCAGCAGUGAGGAAUAUUGGUCAAUGGGCGAGAGCCUGAACCAGCCAAGUCGCGUGAAGGAUGAAGGAUCUAUGGUUUGUAAACUUCUUUUAUGGGAAUACAGUGAGGAACGUGUUCCUUGUUGUAUGUACCAUCUGAAUAAGCAUCGGCUAAAUCCGUGCCAGCAGCCGCGGUAAUACGGAGGAUGCGAGCGUUGUCCGGAUUUAUUGGGUUGAAAGGGUGCGUAGGUGGUUAAUUAAGUCAGCGGUGAAAGUUUGUGGCUGAACCAUACAUUUGCCGUUGAAACUGGUUGACUUGAGUAGAUUUGAGGUAGGCGGAAUGCGUGGUGUAGCGGUGAAAUGCAUAGAUAUCACGCAGAACCCCGAUUGCGAAGGCAGCUUACUAACCUAUAACUGACACUGAAGCACGAAAGCGUGGGGAUCAAACAGGAUUAGAUACCCGUGUAGUC
rnacentral:rRNA from 1 species